rnacentral:tRNA from 1 species
AAAAAGAUAAGCUAAUUAAGCUAAUGGGUUCAUACCCCGUAUAUAAAGGUACUAAUCCUUUUCUUUUUA